GACGAACGCUGGCGGCGUGCUUAACACAUGCAAGUCGAACGAGUGGCGAACGGGUGAGUAACACGUGGGUGACCUGCCCUGCACUUCGGGAUAAGCCUGGGAAACUGGGUCUAAUACCGGAUAGUGUGGGAUGGGCCCGCGGCCUAUCAGCUUGGUGGUGGGGUAAUGGCUACCAAGGCGCGACGGGUAGCCGGCCUGAGAGGGUGAUCCGCCAAACUGGGACUGAGACACGGCCCAGACUCCUACGGGAGGCAGCAGUGGGGAAUUUUGGACAAUGGGCGCAAGCCUGAUCCAGCCAUGCCGCGUGUCUGAAGAAGGCCUUCGGGUUGUAAAGGACUUUUGUCAGGGAGACGGUACCUGAAGAAUAAGCACCGGCUAACUACGUGCCAGCCGCCGCGGUAAUUC
rnacentral:rRNA from 1 species